rnacentral:rRNA from 1 species
AUACGGAGGAUCCGAGCGUUAUCCGGAUUUAUUGGGUUUAAAGGGUGUGCAGGCGGGAGAUUAAGUCGGCGGUGAAAUUUUGGAGCUCAACUGUAAAAAUGCCUUCGAAACUGGGUUCCUUGAGUGUAGAUGAAGGAGGCGGAAUUUGUGGUGUAGCGGUGAAAUGCAUAGAUAUCACGAGGAACUCCGAUUGCGCAGGCAGCUUACUAAACUACUACUGACGCUCAGGCACGAAGGCGUGGGGAUCAAACAGGAUUAGAUACCCUGGUAGUCCACGCAGUAAACGAUGAUUACUAGCUGUUUGCGAUACAAUGUAAGCGGCUGAGCGAAAGCGUUAAGCAAUCCACCUGGGGAGUACGUUCGCAAGAAUGAAACUUAAAGGAAUUGACGGGG